rnacentral:rRNA from 1 species
UACGGGGGGGGCAAGCGUUGUUCGGAAUUACUGGGCGUAAAGGGCUCGUAGGUGGCCAACUAAGUCGGACGUGAAAUCCCUCAGCUUAACUGGGGAACUGCGUCCGAUACUGGAUGGCUUGAGUUUGGGAGAGGGAUGCGGAAUUCCAGGUGUAGCGGUGAAAUGCGUAGAUAUCUGGAGGAACACCCGUGGCGAAGGCGGCUCUCUGGGACGGUACUGACGCUGAGACGCGAAAGCGUGGGGAGCGAACAGG